GGCUCAGUGGUGUAGUGGUACGCCCCGUCAUACAUUGAAGGCUUUCAUCACAUGCUUGCAACGGAGAUCCUUGUUCGACUCAAGGCUGGACCA